AAGAAGGGAUAGGGUUCAAAAAUAUAACCACUCAGUUUCUCUCUCUCAUAAUCUUGCUGCAGCCAAUCCUCAUCAUCUCCUCUCCGCGAGUUCACUUCUCCGCGAGUUCACCGAAUCUCGUCUCAGCAUCUCUGUCUCAGUAAACAAAAUCCGCAAACCACCGAAUUCGACUCAAUUUCAAACAUUUCAACAUUCCUUCUGCCAAUUUAUUCCUCCGAUUUCUUACCAUGAAACUAACACUGACUUGUUCUACAGAUCGCAUUAUAAUCAUUUCAAAUCCGUUCACAGAGUUAAAACCUAA